rfam:Schistosoma mansoni strain Puerto Rico chromosome 3, complete genome
UGCUGAGGAGUCCCACAACAGGACGAAACGGCCGUUCA